AACGAGCGCAACCCUCAUCUUCAGUUACUAACGGGUAAAGCCGAGGACUCUGGAGAAACUGCCGGUGAUAAACCGGAGGAAGGUGGGGAUGACGUCAAGUCCUCAUGGCCCUUAUAGGUGGGGCUACACACGUCAUACAAUGGCUGGUACAGAGGGUUGCCAACCCGCGAGGGGGAGCCAAUCCCAUAAAACCAGUCGUAGUCCGGAUCGCAGUCUGCAACUCGACUGCGUGAAGUCGGAAUCGCUAGUAAUCGUGGAUCAGCACGCCACGGUGAAUACGUUCCCGGGCCUUGUACACACCGCCCGUCAAACAAUGGAAGUUGAGGGUAUCUAAAGUCGGUAGCUGUAAGGCGCCGCCUAGGGUAAACUUGAUAACUGGUGUUAAGUCGUAACAAGGUAGCCGUACCGGAAGGUGCGGCUGGAAUACCUCCUU
rnacentral:rRNA from 1 species